AACCUACCUUUACUGGGGUAUAGCUCCGAGAAAUCGGGAUUAAUCCCCCAUAACACUCGUAAUGAGGCAUCUCGAUGCAGUGAAAGCUCUGGCGGUAAAAGAUGGGGAUGCGGUACAUUAGCUAGUUGGUGAGGUAAUGGCUCACCAAGGCCACGAUGUAUAGGGGGUCUGAGAGGAUGAUCCCCCACACUGGUACUGAGACACGGACCAGACUCCUACGGGAGGCAGCAGUAGGGAAUAUUGGUCAAUGGACGCAAGUCUGAACCAGCCAUGCCGCGUGCAGGAUGACAGCCCUAUGGGUCGUAAACUGCUUUUAUAAGGGAAGAAACCCCUGGAUGCGUCCGGGGCUGACGGUACUUUAUGAAUAAGGAUCGGCUAACAUCGUGCCAGCAGCCGCGGUAAGACGAAGGAUCCAAGCGUUGUCCGGAUUUACUGGGUUUAAAGGGUGCGUAGGCGGAGUGCUAAGUCAGUGGUGAAAGCCGCAGCUCAACUGCGGAACUGCCAUUGAAACUGGUAUUCUUGAAAUACGGUGGAGGUAGAUCGGAAUCCCGCACAAGCGGAGGAGCAUGUGGUUUAAUUCGAUGAUACGACGAGGAACCUUACCUGGUAUUAAAUGUCAGGCGACCGACGCCGAAAUGUGUCUUCCCUUCGGGGGCGACUGGCAAGGUGCUGCAUGGCUGUGGUCAGCUGGUGCCGGGAGCUGUUGGGUUAAGUCCCGCAACGAGCGCAACCCCUAUCUUUAGUUGCUAGCAGGUAAUGCUGAGGACUCUAAAGAAACGGCCUACGUAAGUAGUGAGGAAGGCGGGGACGACGUCAAGUCAUCAUGGCCCUUACGUCCAAGGCUACACACGUGAUCCAAUUGCCGGUACAAUGGGAGGCCACUUGGCAACAAGGCGCUAACCUCAAAAAACCAGUCUCGGUUCGGAUCGGGGUCUGCAACUCGACCUCGUGAAGCUGGAUUCGGCUAGUAAUCGGAUGUCAGCAAUGCAUCCGGUGAAUACGUUCCC
rnacentral:rRNA from 1 species